GACGAACGCUGGCGGCGUGCUUAACACAUGCAAGUCGAACGGAAAGGCCCUGCUUUUGUGGGGUGCUCGAGUGGCGAACGGGUGAGUAACACGUGAGUAACCUGCCCUUGACUUUGGGAUAACUUCAGGAAACUGGGGCUAAUACCGGAUAGGAGCUCCUGUUGCAUGGUGGGGGUUGGAAAGUUUCGGCGGUCGGGGAUGGACUCGCGGCUUAUCAGCUUGUUGGUGGGGUAGUGGCUUACCAAGGCUUUGACGGGUAGCCGGCCUGUGAGGGUGACCGGCCACAUUGGGACUGAGAGACGGCCCAGACUCCUACGGGAGGCAGAAGGGGGGAAUAUUGCACAAUGAGCGGAAGCCGGAUGCAGCAACGCCGCGUGCGGGAUGACGGCCUUCGGGGUGUAAACCGCUUUCGCCUGUGACGAAGCGGGAGUGACGGUAAUGGGUGAAGAAGCACCGGCUAACUACGUG
rnacentral:rRNA from 1 species